rnacentral:lncRNA from 1 species
GAAAAUCUCCCAUAAGCACAAAAGGGCCAUCCAAAGUGAAAUAGAGAGAAGAAGAGCAUCCAAGUGAAUCCCAAAGCUUCCUCUCCAUCCGUGUGCUGCCUCGGUGAUCCUCUACUUCGUGCCAAAUCAGAAGAGGGUCAAGUAAAGAAGAAGCCGAGCUCCUUCAUAUUCAAAACUCGUUUGAGGGCUUCUAUUUACUCUAUUUGGUUAUAUUGUUAUAUUUGCUUGUUUAAGAAGCUUUGAUUUGUUUUUAAACCUUUGUUUUAAUAUCUUGUAACUUGAUUCAAUCAAGGGAUUGAAUCAAAGGGUUAAGGUUUGUUGGUGAGCCAAAGGGAAAACCAACGGUAAUAGGUUUGUUGGUGAGCCUAGGUUGAAACCAACGGUGUAAGGGUUCGAUUGUGAUCCCGGAAAAACAAUCGGGGUGGUUCUAGUCGGUGAGCCUGGGAAAACCGACCGAGUUCGUUGUGACCUCGUAAAACAACAAGUUGGGUUGUGAGCUUGUAAAACAACCGACUGUAAUCUGUAGGAUUAUAGUGAAAUUCCCAAGAGGUCUUGGAGAGUGGAUGUAGGUGCUUGGGUGCACCGAACCACUAUAUGUUUGUUGUGUUUGUAAUGCCUCUUGUCAUUGUCUAACUUACUCACUUACUUACUUAGAUAAAUUGCUUGCUUAACUCUUAUCCGCGCAUCCUUUAGUUGCAAGCAUAUUCAAUCAAGUCACAUUCUAUACAUCAAACUGUUGCUAAGUUUAAAUUUCACUGUGCAUCUAUACAACUUAGCAUAAUUAAUCAAAAAGUUUUAGAAGUAGGUUAAAAGUUUUAAAAGACCCAAUUCACCCCCCCUCUUGGGUUGUAUCUACUGGGCAACAAGUGGUAUCAGAGCAGGUGCUCAAAUAUUAUUUGUAGUCUUAACCGACUAGAGCCAAAGAUCAUGACAACCCCACAUAACGUAUUACUUGCUGAGGGACUUUCCACAAACAGACCUCCACUGUUUG